CCUACGGGUGGCUGUAGUGGGGGAUAUUGCACAAUGGGGGAAACCCUGAUGCAGCGACGCCGCGUGUGGGAAGACGGUCCUCUGGAUUGUAAACCACUGUCGCCAGGGACGAAAAUGACGGUACCUGGGGAGGAAGCUCCGGCAAACUACGCGCCAGCAGCAGCGGUAAUACGUAGGGAGCGAGCGUUGUCCGGAAUUACUGGGUGAAAAGGGAGCGGAGGCGGGGAUGCAAGUUGGGUGUCAAAACUACCGGCUCAACUGGUAGUCGCACUCAAAACUGCAGCUCUUGAGUGAAGUAGAGGCAGGCGGAAUUCCUAGUGUAGCGGUGAAAUGCGUAGAUAUUAGGAGGAACACCAGUGGCGAAGGCGGCCUGCUGGGCUUUUACUGACGCUGAGGCUCGAAAGUGUGGGGAGCAAACAGGAUUAGAUACCCGGGUAGUC
rnacentral:rRNA from 1 species